AUUGAACGCUGGCGGCAGGCCUAACACAUGCAAGUCGAGCGGAUGAGUGGAGCUUGCUCCAUGAUUCAGCGGCGGACGGGUGAGUAAUGCCUAGGAAUCUGCCUGGUAGUGGGGGGACAACGUUUCGAAAGGAACGCUAAUACCGCAUACGUCCUACGGGAGAAAGCAGGGGACCUUCGGGCCUUGCGCUAUCAGAUGAGCCUAGGUCGGAUUAGCUAGUAGGUGAGGUAAUGGCUCACCUAGGCGACGAUCCGUAACUGGUCUGAGAGGAUGAUCAGUCACACUGGAACUGAGACACGGUCCAGACUCCUACGGGAGGCAGCAGUGGGGAAUAUUGGACAAUGGGCGAAAGCCUGAUCCAGCCAUGCCGCGUGUGUGAAGAAGGUCUUUCGGAUUGUAAAGCAACUUUAAGUUUGGGAGGAAGGGUAGGUAACCUUAAUACGUUGCUACUUUGACGUUACCGACAGAAUAAGCACCGGCU
rnacentral:rRNA from 1 species